rnacentral:rRNA from 1 species
UACGGAGGGUGCAAGCGUUAAUCGGAAUUACUGGGCGUAAAGCGCGUGUAGGCGGCGUAGCAAGUCGGGCGUGAAAGCCCACGGCUCAACCGUGGAAGAGCACUCGAAACUGCUGCGCUAGAGUUCUGGAGAGGAAGGCGGAAUGCUUGGUGUAGAGGUGAAAUUCGUAGAUAUCAAGCGGAACACCGGUGGCGAAGGCGGCCUUCUGGACAGUGACUGACGCUGAAACGCGAAAGCGUGGGGAGCAAACAGG